UACGUAGGGUGCGAGCGUUAAUCGGAAUUACUGGGCGUAAAGCGUGCGCAGGCGGUUUUGUAAGCCAGAUGUGAAAUCCCCGGGCUUAACCUGGGAAUGGCAUUUGGGACUGCAGGGCUUGAGUGCGGCAGAGGAGACUGGAAUUCCUGGUGUAGCAGUGAAAUGCGUAGAUAUCAGGAGGAACACCGAUGGCGAAGGCAGGUCUCUGGGCUGACACUGACGCUCAUGCACGAAAGCGUGGGGAGCAAACAGG
rnacentral:rRNA from 1 species